UACGUAGGGUGCGAGCGUUAAUCGGAAUUACUGGGCGUAAAGCGUGCGCAGGCGGUUUUGUAAGCCAGAUGUGAAAGCCCCGGGCUUAACCUGGGAAUGGCAUUUGGGACUGCAAGGCUGGAGUGUGGCAGAGGAGACUGGAAUUCCUGGUGUAGCAGUGAAAUGCGCAGAUAUCAGGAGGAACACCGGUGGCGAAAGCGGCUUCCUGGACCAGUACCGACGUUCAGGCACGAAAGCGUGGGGAGCAAACAGG
rnacentral:rRNA from 1 species